GAUGGCCCCCUAUCAGCGAAACAAUCACCACUGCUUUAUUACGGUAUAUCUCUAAGAGGUACGUACCCCUAUCAUGUGAUGAACUGGUAGUGAUUGGAUCUUCCAUUAUCACAGAUUUUUGUUGUGUCAUUUGCAGAUCUAGAAUUGGGAUGCUCUUGUGAUUGCCAAAUCUGAAGAGGGCUUGGGGCCUACGUUUUCUCUCAGAUAGUAGACAUAACAAUUGAACCAAAAUUUAGUGAAGAUCUUAUUUAUGAUUACUUAGAUAUGAUUCGAGAAUUUGAUCUCUUUUCCCUUGGUUUUCUUUUUCAUGAGGAUUGGGAGGGCUUAAAAGAGAUAAACAGUGAUUUCGAGGCUAUGAAAGACACCAAAAAUUAAAGAAAAGGCUUCUCUUUUCUUUCGUUGGGGAGAGAGAAAAUAUUAUGCUGAAAUCAAGGUAGAGAGAUUGUGUUGUUUGAUAUAGUUUUGGAUGAUGUUAUGGGUUGACAACAUUUAACAGAAAGUUUUUUGCUGAGAUCAAAGUAUCUCUAUAUGCUUGAAGAUUUUGGACAACACACUAUUUUGUAGAAAACAUCGGAUGGAAAGAAAUGACGAGACGCGCACCACCAAGGAGUUUCACCUACUUAUUUGAGGACUCUGCAUCUUUGAUGUUUGCUUUAGAUGAAAUAUGGAUUUUUGACUGAAUAGACUUUCACUAGUAAGUAUUUAUGAUUAAGCAAUUAAAAAAUCAAUUAAAAUCUGAUCUUUUGUGUUGGUUGAAAAUGCUUUUGGUGAUGCUUAAGAACUUUAAUUUUUCUUUUUGAUAUCAAAAAGAA
rnacentral:lncRNA from 1 species